CUGUUGCCUCGGCGGGAUUUCUGCCCCGGGCGCGUCGCAGCCCCGGACCAAGGCGCCCGCCGGAGGACCAAUUUACAAACUCUUUUGUAUAUCCCAUCGCGGAUUCUUUACAUUCUGAGCUUUCUCGGCGCUCCUAGCGAGCGUUUCGAAAAUGAAUCAAAACUUUCAACAACGGAUCUCUUGGUUCUGGCAUCGAUGAAGAACGCAGCGAAAUGCGAUAAGUAAUGUGAAUUGCAGAAUUCAGUGAAUCAUCGAAUCUUUGAACGCACAUUGCGCCCGCCAGUAUUCUGGCGGGCAUGCCUGUCCGAGCGUCAUUUCAACCCUCGAACCCCUCCGGGGGGUCGGCGUUGGGGAUCGGCACUUACCUGCCGGCCCCGAAAUACAGUGGCGGUCUCGCCGCAGCCUCUCCUGCGCAGUAGUUUGCACACUCGCACCGGGAGCGCGGCGCGUCCACGGCCGUAAAACAACCCAAACUUCUGAAAUGUUGACCUCGGAUCAGGUAGGAAUACCCGCUGAACUUAAGCAUACAAUA
rnacentral:rRNA from 1 species